rnacentral:rRNA from 1 species
GUAGGGAAUCUUCCACAAUGGACGAAAGUCUGAUGGAGCAACGCCGCGUGAGUGAAGAAGGUUUUCGGAUCGUAAAGCUCUUUCGUUAGGGACGAACGUGCUCUUUGUGAAUAAUGAGGAGUAAUGACGGUACCUAAAUAAGAAGCCACGGCUAACUACGUGCCAGCAGCCGCGGUAAUACGUAGGUGGCAAGCGUUGUCCGGAAUUAUUGGGCGUAAAGCGCGCGCAGGCGGGAUAUCAAGUCUGUCUUAAAAGUGCGAGGCUCAACCUCGUGAGGGGACAGAAACUGGUAUUCUUGAGUGUCGGAGAGGAAAGUGGAAUUCCAAGUGUAGCGGUGAAAUGCGUAGAGAUUUGGAAGAACACCAGUGGCGAAGGCGACUUUCUGGACGAUGUCUGACGCUGAGGCGCGAAAGCUAGGGGAGCGAACGGGAUUAGAUACCCUGGUAGUCC